UCACGCCUGUAAUCCCAGCUCUCAGGGAGGCAGAGGCGGGAGGAUAGCUUGAGCCCAGGAGUUCGAGACCUGCCUGGGUAAUAUAGCGAGACCCCGUUCUCCACAAAAAGGAAAAAAAAAAAGAAACCCCCCCUUUUCUUUUCACCACUCUGUUGAGCAAUUUUCCCAAAAAAAGGCAGCAAUUAUUAAACUUAAUUCAAGUGAGCCAGUCAAAGAUAGGUCCUAAAUUGCUAGUCCCAAUAGAACCACCUGAUCCUAAACCAGUGAGAAACAAACAGUAACAAUAUCCGCCGCUGACUUCAGCUAAGAAUCAAUGGCCCCUGCCCACCUCCCCCUCAACUCUUCUUUCUUUUGAGACGGAGUCACACUCCGUCGCCCAGGCUGGAGUGCACUGGCGCCAUCUUGGGCUCACAGCAACCACCUCCUCCUCCCGCAUUCAGGCGAUUCUCCUGCCUCAGCCUCCCAAGAGCUGGGAUUACAGGCACUCGCCAUCACACCCGGCUAAUAUUUUUGUAUUUUUAGUAGAGGCCGGGCUUCACCAUGUUGGCCGGGGUGGUCUCAAACUCCUGACCUCAAGUGAUCCGCCCACCUCGGCCUUGCAAAGUGCUGGGAUUACAGGUGUGAGCCACCGUGCUGAGCCAGCCCCAUUUUUUAAAUGAUGAUUUGAUAAGAGUGGACCCUGAGAAUUAGCUGACAGCAUCCCCUUUCUCUCUCCCUGCCUUGGUGUGACCCUCCCUGUGUGACCUUGGUUAAGUCCUCGAACUUCUGUCCCGUAUUUAAGAUGGAGCUGUUUUACCUACUUCAUAAGACAGUUGCAAGGUGCCAUUGAUUCUUGACUGCAAAAUACCCUGAAACCCUUAUAUGAAGGCUUAAGUCAACGGAGCCUAGUGGAAGAUUUGUGGCUUGUGGUUGAAAGUCACAUCAAAAGACAAAUGUGGCCACGUUCAGGAAUUGGAGACUUACUGGCAUGGCUCUACAACUGCUCAAUUAUUAAUCAUGCAGACUAACCUGUCAACACUGGGAGAUGCAACAUAGCAAAAGGACAGAGAAAUUAGAAUAUUUUGUGCAGAAAGCCCUAAAUUCUCACCUGAAUGUAACUUAUAGCUCCCUUACCUACUCUUACACAUGCCUUCCCAAUAUGCUAGACUGGCUUAUACAUAGGCCAACACAAAAUACAAACGUGACAUGUUCAUGUAGCCUAGUGGCUCGGUGCCUAUUCUCCAUGUAUCUGCAUGGUAAUGUUGGAAACUUUAAGUACAUUUCUUUCACAGCAGUUUUCUUCAUAAGUGGUAUAUAAAUCUCAUAUUCAAUGAAAUGGGGAAAUCACGUUGAGAAGUUGGUUUGUUAUCUCUCACUGAGCAAAGACUGGCAGGAGAUAAUAAAAAUAAAUAUGGGCACACACGUAUUAAUAUACAGCACGCAUUUACAAGUUUAUUUUCCAGAUAAAAUUGUGGUAUAAGAACAGUUCUACCAAAACAGUCUGCACCAUUUCCAAGUCUCAGUUAAUUUACAGCAACUGCUGCUUUUGGAGAUGGCUGUGAAAAUAUGGAAGUUCCUCUCAAGUAGGCAAAGAAACAGUUCUAGAUUUACUGAUUCUAAGUUUUAUUUUGUCAAGUUUUUAAAAUUUUCUCAGUGAGCAUGGUGACUGCAGAGGUUAGCGUUGUGAAAAGCUGGGCUAAAUAUUAUUUCUGUAAAGUCCAAUAGGAUUCCAUCCCUAUGAAAUAACACAAAAUUUCACUCUCUAAAAGCAACAGCAUGUAAACUAGAAUGAAAAAAGGAAAUUAUGUACGUAUGCCUAAUAUUCUUUGUGAAUGUCUUUCAUUUAACUAAAAUUAUAUUAGAAACCAGAUUGAUAAAUAAAAAUUUCAACAUAGUU
ensembl:lncRNA